rnacentral:rRNA from 1 species
CACCGCCCGUCACACCCAUGGGAGUUGAGUUGCGACCAGAAGCAGGUAGCCUGACCGCGAAGGGGGGCGCCUACCACGGUGUGGUCAAUGACUGGGGUG